rnacentral:rRNA from 1 species
CGAAAGCCUGACGGAGCAAGACCGCGUGGGGGAGGAAGGCUCUUGGGUUGUAAACCCCUUUUCUCAGGGAAGAAGUUCUGACGGUACCUGAGGAAUCAGCCUCGGCUAACUCCGUGCCAGCAGCCGCGGUAAUACGGAGGAUGCAAGCGUUAUUCGGAAUUAUUGGGCGUAAAGCGUCCGCAGGUGGUAUUUCAAGUCUGCUGUCAAAGACCGAAGCUUAACUUCGGAAAGGCAGUGGAAACUGAAAAACUAGAGUACGGUAGGGGUAGAGGGAAUUUCCAGUGUAGCGGUGAAAUGCGUAGAGAUUGGAAAGAACACCAGUGGCGAAGGCGCUCUACUGGGCCGUAACUGACACUCAGGGACGAAAGCUAGGGGAGCG